rnacentral:tRNA from 1 species
AAAAAGAUAAGCUAAAAUAAGCUAGUGGGUUCAUACCUCAUUUAUAAAGUCUAUCCUUUUCUUUUUA